CUAUAUAAACCGAGAGGAACAGGGGCCCAAGAAUCGUCAACGAGAGACAACGAAAGGCUCAGAGUGCACAGUGAACUCAAGAUUCGCAGGAAAUGUUCUGUUUUCAGGUGAGAGUUCGGAAUAAUCCGAGAAGAAAAUGACGACGUCAUACGAUAGACGUACGCCAAAGGUGAAUGAAGUUGUUGGCCUGUCUGUGCAUGCGUUUGUCGAAUCCGGUCUGCAAGAUUUUUAUCACUCGUUCGUUGGCUUCCAAUUCACAUCCGUGUGGUCACAUCUGGAAAUCCCACUGUUCAACGGAGGUGACGCUUGACAUCAAAUUAAAGCGGUGUUUCUAGUAACACGCACAUAAGCAUCCCACCAACGAUUCGCUCCACAUUUACACAUCAAAACAAAUGUGGAGUUUAAAUUUGGCCAAUAGCCUCAUAAGUGAUCAAGUCGCACCACUCCAUUCAGUAAAAUUCUUGCACGAAACUUCAUUCAGGAUUUGCUUUGUUCAAGACCAACUCUGGAGAUACUCGCAGUUUGUACACAACAACCAAAGUCCUAUUUGUAGAAUCGACAAAAGUUUCCACUGCCGAUUCAUUAGGUCGGUUUUUUAAAACCCGCACGACGCACAACCAAAGGUACUACUUCGACAUCAGAGGCUGAAGUGACGAGUCAAAAAACGUCGCUGAUGGCUUAUAAAACGGGAGUGCUCUGAAGUCAAGCCCUCAGUUUGAACAUGAAGCUCAGUCUCGUUUCGAUUGUCAUUUUGGCAGCCUUUCCCCUCUUGUCCGAAGCAAGCAAUUUCGGGAGGCGGGGCUAUCCGUGCGAAAGUGAUGCGGAUUGUGGGCGGCACCUGAUUUGCCACACUGAUUUGGAUGGAAGCCGAAUUUGCCGAAGGGAUUUCUGUCAAACCGAAGGCCAAAGAUGCGGGGGAUAUCAUGGUCGUUGUUGCACUUACGGAGAACAUCAGCCAUUAUUCUGCAUGAAAGUCAAACUUUCAGGGCCUCUGGUGUGCCAAAAGAAAGCAAAUGAUCGCAUUGAUACUAAUUUGCCUCCGAAGCACAAUGUGCCAUAAACCACAAUCACGUUGAACCAAAAAUGUAUCUCGUACAAAUUUAACUGGAAAUAAAUGACACCACUUGAUUGAAGGUGGAACUAACAAA